AUGCCUGUGCUCUCUAUGGUGAUACCACGCCUUAAAACGAAUCAACUUCACUGGACAACUACUGGUGCUUAUGAGGCAAGGCAAUCGCUUAUCAUAAGAGGUCUUUUCCGAUGCUUGCAGAUCCUCGAAACGCUGUUGAAUCUACAGGUGCUACAAAUGAGACAGUUUUAAAGGUGGCAUUUGAUCAUGGUAGAAACAUCGGUGUGAUAAAGCCGCAUGAUCGGGUUGUUGUUUGCCAGAAAGUCGGGGAUGACUCUGUGGUCAAGAUUAUUGAGCUUGAAGAAGAAAUUUAGAAAUUCAAAGAGAGCUUCUUGCUUUGAAGAAGAAAUCACUUGCUUUAAGGAGGGAAGGUAAAGUGGAAAAGAUCAUGUUCUCAACCAUUUGAGUGUCCCAGCAGCUUGCUUCACCCAUCCUGAAAUCAGUAUGGUGGGAUUGACUGAGCCUCAAGCAAAGGAGAAAGCCAAGAAAGAAAAGUUCAAAAUAAGUGUUGCAAAGACGAGUUUCAAGGCGAACACAAAAGCAUUGGCCGAGAAUGAAGGGGAGGGUCUUGCCAAGUGGUUUGAAUCGCCUCCGCUCAGUCGCUGCAACUCCUCUAAAUCGUGCUCUCUCUACUGGUCUUGAAUUAAUAGAGGAUAGCUAGCAAUCGACUUCAAAAGGAGCUGGUAGAGUGGCAGGCCAAUCCUCCUCCUGGAUAUGUAUACAAAGUCACUGGCAAACUUUAAAGGUUUCUACAACAUCUGAUGUCAGCACAAAUGAUGUGGUUUAUUCAAGGUUUCCUACACAUCAACCAGCUUAGAGGCGAGAUCUCGGUUACUUACUUUUUGGGUAUGUUAGAAGCAAGCAAUGUUUUUGUUAAGUAUUAUCAAACUUCAUGGCACACGAGGAACCAAAGUCUCUUAAUUAAGUAUCAAAUUUUCUACGGAUUGAAAUUUCUACGCGUAAGGAACCGAAACAAUACCAACCUUGCAACACCUACUCGAUGUUGACUGGCGUAACAAUGUCUUAUUUUCAAUGUGUUGUAGUAUGGGAUUAAAAUUGUCUUAAGCAGUUUGAUGUUUUUAUUCGUCUAUUUACUUAUAUUUAUUAUCGUAUUCGUUUUGA
rnacentral:lncRNA from 1 species